rnacentral:rRNA from 1 species
ACAACAGGUUGAAAUUCCUGUACCACCGUGAACCGUUAUGAGCAAUGGGGUGACGCAGAAGGAUAGUGACGCGAGCUGAUGGAUGCUCGUCCAAGCAGUGAGGCUGGUGUGUAGGCAAAUCCGCACAUCGUAAGGCUGGGCUGUGAUGGGGAGGGAAAUUUAAGUACCGAAGGUCAUGAGUUCAGGCUGCCAAGAAAAGCCUCUAGCCAGGGAGAAGGUGCCCGUACCGCAAACCGACA